CUCAAGUUUGACAGUUUAGAACCAUUUAUUAUGUCACAAUUUUCCAUAUGUGAGGAAUCCACGCAAAGAAUUUCUGGGACCACUAAGUCGGUUUGUCACAGGCUUUCAGACAUCUAGCUGUUGGCCAUCUCAAGGCUGGCCUGGGAAAGAUAAACUUCCAAGUUUAUUCAUUUGCCUAGUGGCAGACCCCAUAAGCUCCUCUUCCAGGCUCACUGAGGUGACUGCAGGCUUGGUGGUUUUAAUCAGUUGAAGGGGACCAUGGCAGAGUAGCUUUCAGCACAUCAUUAUGGUGUUGUCCCAAAGGUACAGGUCAUGGAAUACAAAGAGCUGCUCUGAGAAGAGUAUUUGAAGUCACCUUCAUCUACAAGGUACAAAGAAACUGCAGUGAACUGGAACACAACUGAACUCAAUUAAGUACUCAACUCCCUGACCCCAAAUACUCCUUUAGGGAGAAAGAGGCUGAUUACAGUAAAAGUGAGCUGAUGCUAGCAAAUUCUGUCAAAAAGCUACUUCCUGGGGUACUAAAAGAGAAAGGACAGUGACUGAAGAAAUGAUUUUCAUAUUGUUGGAAGCUGAAAAGUGUUGAAGGACAUAAUUUCAGGCAGAAGCAGAUAUUCCGGUAUAAACAUAUGUAUUGCUGAUUUCAGGAGAUGUAAACCCAGAGCCCACUCCAGUUAUGAUCUUUCUUCUCACUUAUUUUGUCUCCAAACAAGUAUUCAGUCAACAUUGUAUUUGAACCAGGCACUAGUUUACCUCUGAAGAUGCAACAGAAAUGCAUCAGUCCACGUGCUGCUCAUGGAGUUUUUGCUGUGUGCCAGGAACAGUGUUCGUUAUCAUAGUAAGAAGGAGGAGCAUCUUGAUUGAAAAUGUACUUCUAAUCUCAUGUUUCAUGAUCAAGACCCAAAUUGGCCUCUCAUUCUGCCUGAGCUGUCAGAGGAUGGUCAGGGUUCUGGUUCAGUGGCACCAGUUCUCCCUGUGACCUAGUUUAAGAAAUACAUACUUCUGACAGGGGAAACUGGUGCAAAUAUGCUCAUCUCGGCAUUUUCUUGGGCAUGUAUUUUGUGAAAAAAAUGCAUGAUUGAAUCAUUCAUGAGCAAUUUAUUCCUUUGACAAGUAUUUCUUGAGUACUCAUAUUGUAGAAACUGAUCAAACACUGAAGCUCCAAUAAUAAAGCAAACUACAUGACUAAGUAUCUGAGUCUCUGGUUUUAUGUAGUUUACUGGCUUGCUGGUCAAAUUUGUGAGCUGUGAAAG
rnacentral:lncRNA from 1 species